GGUGGUGAGCACCUUGUCCUAGAAGGUAAUCAACAACAUCCCCCUAGAUGUGCGGUUUCAUGGUGCUGUGUGGCAUCAGGAGUUCACCAGACUGGACUCCUGUGGGUCUCAGGCUCCCCCAAGGCCACGCCCCAGGAGGAUUCAGUGGGGACAGAGGGUCAGCAGGUCUUGCCGGGUGCAGCCGCUGAGGCAGCAGUGGCGGGCAGGGUUGACGGCAGUUGCACGGCGGGGGGGGGGGGGGGGGGGGGGGGGGGGGGGGGGGCGCCCCCCNNNNNNNNNNNNNNNNNNNNNNNNNNNNNNNNNNNNNNNNNNNNNNNNNNNNNNNNNNNNNNNNNNNNNNNNNNNNNNNNNNNNNNNNNNNNNNNNNNNNAAGGGUUCUUCGGCCAUCUAGGGGACCCCCACGGCUCCCCCUGCCAGGGGCCCGGGGCGGGGAGGCGGGGCCAGUCAGGAAGAUGCAAGCCUAAGGCCCUGACCACCCUUUUCCUGUUCUUCUCCCUCCAAGCGUUCAAAUUUUCACACCCUAAGUUUCCGCCUGAGAAGCAUCGACUGACUAGUCUCCCUCCUGGGUCCUUCAGGAGAGAAAGACCCCAAAAGUGGGCAGGGGAGGGAGGUGACAUUAAUUCGAUGCAUACAAAAAAUUAAAGACCACAAAUACAGGUAAUUCUGUAAUUAUAAAAACAGCAUGCAUGCAUAUUUCUCCUUUUGUCUCAACUGAUUUUAAAAAGCAGUUGUAUAAAAAUUAUUAAUUUUAUUUGGGGGCUUAUAACAUGUAGAAAGGUAAUAUAUUUGUCAAUAAUAGCACAAAGGAGAUGAGAGGAACAAUGCUGUAUUGAAAUCAGGAAUUAACACCAGGUAAUAAUGUUACCCAAAGUGGGGUCUGGCUGUUCACUGCUCAAAAGCCAAUAAAAAGGCAAGUUGGUGGAAAAGCAAGUUUGCUUUAUUUUGCAUGCUGGCAACUGGGGUGCAGGGGAGGUGGAUUCCUUCCAAAGGCUGACACCUCCCCCCCUCCACUGACAAUCAGUGGGCAAGAGGUUUUAUAGACAGAGGGCAGAAACAGCACAGCCAGCUCUGACAGUCAUCUUCAAACUGGCCGCUCAGAGGUCUGCAGCUCACCCUGACUGUUUCCACAGAGUUAAUCUUCAGUUCCAGGGUCAGUUUGUCCCCAAGUCCUUGAGGCCAGUUCUCGAAAUCAUAACAGCUUAGCUUAUGUCAUGCCUAUGGUCUGGUUAUCACGCAGUUCACGCCUGCCACCUGGUAGGGAUUUCAGUAUCUUAAAGACAGCACACAGCAUACCACUCAGAAUGUUAUUUACAACCCAUGAAGAGGAACUAAACGUCCUUGACUAUGUUUAAUGACUAAACUGUUACUGCUUAGUCUUGUUGAACUGUUUCCCUUGUGUUUCUGCAUUUUCUCACUUCUCUGAUUAAACUUAUUCUUCGGCUAAAGUUUUUUGUCACAGACGGAAGGCAGGCAAAAGACAUGGGUCUUUUUGUCACAGACAAAAGGCAGGCAGAUGAGCAUAGGGUCCUGCUCUAUUCUGGUAACUCUAAUUGACAAAAACAAAGGAAUCGAACCAGAAAUUCAAAAAGAGAAAACCAAUGUAACAACUCUAGAUACUUGCCCUCCUUUAUUUUCUUGGAUUCUUUAUCAAACAUGUAACUGCAUGGAGUAAUCAUUAUAACAAUGUAUUAUUUGUUCUGUAACACAGGUGGAUGCAAUAUGUAAAACAAUUAUAGUAUAAUAAUAACAAUAAUAGCAUGGGCUUCCCUGGUGGGUCAGAUGGUAAAGAAUCUGCCUGCAAUGCAGGAGACCUGGCCGGGUUCCAUCACUGAGUCGGGAAGAUCCCCUGGAGAAGGGAAUACAAAUUCCAGUAUUCUUGCCUAGAGAAUUUUAUGGACAGAGGGGCCUGGUGGGCUACACAGUCCAAGGGGUCGCAGAGAGUCAGAACUGAGCGACGUUCAGACAUAAUAAUAGGACAAAAUGGGGAAGAGGAAAUGAGAUAUGUAAGAUCAACAUUUCUAUAUAUGUCCUUAACAUUUAGGCAGCAUAGAGACUUCCCAGAUGGUCUAGUGAGUAAGGCUUUGUGCUGCAAACGCAGGGGCCCAGCUUUGAUCCCCUGAUGAGGAAAUAGAUCUUACAUGUAUGAUGCAACUAAGAGUUAGCAUACUGCAACUAAGACUCAGUGCAGCCAAAAUAAAUAAAUUUUUUUUUUAAUUUAAGACGGCAAAAAUCCAAGGAGAUUCUAAGUUGAAAUGCAUAUAGUAAGCCCUAGAACAGUCAUUAAGGAAAUAACUCAAUAUAUAUACCGAAAAAAAUCAUUAAAGGAAGUAAAAUGUUAUGUUAGAAAAUAGUUGCUUCAUGCAACGGUAAGCAGUAAAGAAAUAAACAAGUGGGACUACAUCAAACUGAAAAGCUUCUGCACAGCAAAAGAAACCAUCGACAAAAUGAAAAGACAAACUCCAGAAUGGGAGAAAAUAUUUGCAAACUCUGUAUCUGAUAAGGGGUUAAUAUCCAAAAUACACAUAGAACUCAAAACCCAAACAAUA
rnacentral:lncRNA from 1 species